rnacentral:rRNA from 1 species
AACUGAAGAGUUUGAUCAUGGCUCAGAUUGAACGCUGGCGGCAGGCUUAACACAUGCAAGUCGAGCGGAUGAAGGUAGCUUGCUACUGGAUUCAGCGGCGGACGGGUGAGUAAUGCUUAGGAAUCUGCCUAUUAGUGGGGGACAACGUUCCGAAAGGGGCGCUAAUACCGCAUACGUCCUACGGGAGAAAGCAGGGGACCUUCGGGCCUUGCGCUAAUAGAUGAGCCUAAGUCGGAUUAGCUAGUUGGUAGGGUAAAGGCCUACCAAGGCGACGAUCUGUAGCGGGUCUGAGAGGAUGAUCCGCCACACUGGGACUGAGACACGGCCCAGACUCCUACGGGAGGCAGCAGUGGGGAAUAUUGGACAAUGGGGGGAAC